rnacentral:rRNA from 1 species
UAUAGCCUACGGGGCGCAGCAGUAGGGAAUUUUCGUCAAUGGGCGCAAGCCUGAACGAGCAAUGCCGCGUGAACGAGGAAGGUCUUCGGAUCGUAAAGUUCUGUUGAAGGGGAAAAAGAGCGGAGAGAGGAAAUGGUCUCCGAUUGAUAUUACCCUUCGAGGAAGUCACGGCUAACUACGUGCCAGCAGCCGCGGUAAUACGUAGGUGGCGAGCGUUAUCCGGAAUGAUUGGGCGUAAAGGGGGCGUAGGCGGCCUGCUAAGUCUGGAGUGAAAGGGACCGGCUCAACGGCGACAGGCUAUGGAA